GCUGGAGGACCAAGAAGGCGGAGUCUGGUGAAGCAAGACUCUGCUGAUACAGUCCUCCUAGAGAACGGGGUGGGCGAGAGCAGCCCUCGCUGGAGGACAUGCCGCGGGGCUGACUGCGCGACCCAACACGC